rnacentral:rRNA from 1 species
GACGAACGCUGGCGGCGUGCUUAACACAUGCAAGUCGAACGGAAAGGCCCUGCUUUUGUGGGGUGCUCGAGUGGCGAACGGGUGAGUAACACGUGAGUAACCUGCCCUUGACUUUGGGAUAACUUCAGGAAACUGGGGCUAAUACCGGAUAGGAGCUCCUGCUGCAUGGUGGGGGUUGGAAAGUUUCGGCGGUUGGGGAUGGACUCGCGGCUUAUCAGCUUGUUGGUGGGGUAGUGGCUUACCAAGGCUUUGACGGGUAGCCGGCCUGAGAGGGUGACCGGCCACAUUGGGACUGAGAUACGGCCCAGACUCCUACGGGAGGCAGAAGUGGGGAAUAUUGCACAAUGGGCGGAAGCCUGAUGCAGCAACGCCGCGUGCGGGAUGACGGCCUUCGGGGUGUAAACCGCUUUCGCCUGUGACGAGGCGUGAGUGACGGUAAUGGGUAAAGAAGCACCGGCUAACUACGUG